UCUGCGUCCCAGGCGGUGGUCAGAGGGCUUGCGGGCAGAGGACCUGGGGUCACCGGGUCUAGGGCACUUUGCCGGUGUGUGUAUUUGGGGGGUGGGUGGAGGGAGAAGGUCUUAAGGAAGCGAAUAUAAACUUUCUGCACACGCGUGAGUCUUUCCCAUUAGACUACAGAAAACCACACUGAAGCUCCAAGCCGUCUCUACCCGGAGCCCUGGGAGCAGCCGCCAGACCAUGACGCCCAACAACUACCUUCGGCAACGGCUGAAAUGCUCUAAUGCCCCUGGUAAGGAAGGAAGGAAGGUACGUGCGAGCCCUCGGUCUUCAAGGGGGCCAAAGCGGCAGGAGCUGCAGACUUCAGCGAACACCGACCUGCCACAGCCUGGCACCAAUGGCCUUUCUCCCGAUCACAUUUCGGCCGUGGCUCCUGAGCCAAAAGGAGUGAAAUACAGUAAAAUAAAGGUGCCUGGGCCUCCUGCCCAUGGCAACGCCCUGAAAACGACACUCUUCCCCUCAAAGACCCACUGAAGAAUGUUUACCGGGGAGAAUUCUUACCGUCUGAUCUGGCUAUUGCCAUGAAAAUCAGUAAGAGGGGAAAAAAGCAACAACAAAGGCCAAUGAUGGUUAUGUACAAAUGCACAACUUACAGGAGUCUAGUGAGAAAGGGAUCCCGUCGCAAGAAUGCUAAACUUCCCCAAGAGGUAGCGGGAUAAAGCUGUCUCGACACAGAGGCGUUCUUGCUCUUCUGCCUCACACAUCCCCUGUCCAGCUCCUCAGCAAACCCCGACGCUCGCUUCAGAAAGCAUCCAGAACCUGCUCAGUUCCCACUGCUCUCCCGUGAGCUCGCUCCAGCAGCCCCUCGCCACGUGCUAGGAUUCUCACCAAAGAAGCCACAACCAUCCUGUCACUCCACUGCUCCAAGCCGUCGGGGGAAGGCCCAAGUCCCCGAAGACGGCCUCCUACCCCAAACGCACUCUGCGCCUCCCAGCCCUGUCACCGGCGGUGGCUCUGCUGGCUGCCCGCUUCGUAGCCAGGGUCUCCCUCCUCGGGGUGUGCUGUUCCCUGCACCCGGCAUCCUCACGCAAGCACUCAGGCAAGUCCUUCCCUGACCGGCGCACUCAAAACCUCCACUCUCUCCAGCCCCGAUCUGCUUUCCCGAUUCAUUUUUCUGCACGGCAUUUCUCACCAUCUAACACGCUUUGUCUGCUGUCUGUGUCUCCAACUAAAACGUAAGCUACGUGAAGGCAGUGA